UCCUCCAGCUCCACCAUCUCGCCGAGUGCCAGGCAGCCGAGUCACUACCCCUCAACCUGGAGAAAACUGUUAAGCACCUCACCAUGGGGCAGGACCGCAACACUCUUCACCACCUCAACUCCCUGCACCUGCAUUUAACAUACGGAGAGUUACUCAAGGAACGGCAGUCCCUCCUCAACUCCCUCCACCCCCACACCAGCCCUCAACGUGCAGCGAACAGAGGAGCUUUGUGCUGUGAGGAAAAACAUGGUGACACGGUCUGCCACGGACACUGAAGUCACCAAACACGCAAUCAGGUGUUUCAAUCGGCGGUGGAUCGGGCAACGAGGAGAUGUGUUCCGCCUCCAUCCACACAAAUGGAGUAAUAGGAGAAAUAAGCAUUAAACAAUCUUUUUAUUGAA